AUGGAGCAGGCCACCAUCCCGGAUGUCCGUGGCGGAGUCCUGCAGAGCGCCGUCCGAGUGUGGAGCAACAUUCCAGCCAUCAGGAGGUAUUUCAGGGCCAGGGGGACCCAGAAGUGGGAUUCACCAAGGAAACAGUGUCUGCCUAGCAGAUCCAAGCCCACAGUAACCUCUGCCCUGGUGGGAACUAGGCUCAACCCUGGGACCCUGGAGGCACUGAAGCCCAAGGAUGCCCCUUUCCUCUUGGGGACUUUCUCCAGUGCUGGCUCUUAGCUUCUCGGGAUCCAGCCCCUGGAAACCCUCAUGUGCCUUAAUGGCCUGGCCCUGGCUCAGCUGCAGCCUCCAGGCUUUCCCUCCAUGUUGCCUCCCCACCUCCCUCGCACAUCCACAGGCUUCUCAUGUGUGCUCACACUCAGCCACACUCACACAACUCACAGGCUCAUCCACACACCUGUGUGCUCAUGCAGUCAUUCCCCCACACACACAGUCAUCCCGACGGUCACACACAUCCACACACACAUGAUCAGUCACACUGUCACACACUCACACAGCACACACACUCACGGCUCACACACACAGUCAUCACCAUGGUCACACACAUGCUCAGUCACACUGUCACACACUCACAACACACACACGGCUCACGCAGUCAUCCCCACGGUCACACAUCCACACACAUGCUCAGUCACACUGUCACACACACAGCACACACACGCAUGGCUCACAUACACACAGUCAUCCCAACAGUCACACAUCCACACACAUGCUCAGUCACACUGUCACACGCUCACACAGCACACACAUGGCUCACACACACAGUCAUGGCUCACAUCUACACACACAUGCUCAGUCACACUGUCACACACAGCACACACACGGCUCACACACAGUCAUCACCAUGGUCACACAUAUGCUCAGUCACACUGUCACAUGCUCACACAGCACACACACGACUGGCAUGUACAUCCACACAUGCUCACAUCUGCUCACAAACACAGGCAUGCAUGCAUCAGUCUCCCACCCACCCACAUGCUUGCACCCCCACAGCACACUCCUGGGCCGCCCUCCUCACCUUUUGGCACCUUGAACACAUGGCCCCACCCCACACACCCUCCCGCCACCCCCGUGGUCUCUCCCAGCUGCCCACCCCCCUUGGCAGCCUUUCUGAAUGGCCCAGACCUUGCACCCCACAGCCAACCGUCCGUCCAUCCCCUCACUCCCACACCUGCCUGGCGUGCCCAGAGAAGCAUGCAUGCCCAUGGAACCAGUGCCUUCUGGCUCCGCUGA
rnacentral:lncRNA from 13 species